rnacentral:lncRNA from 10 species
AAUUCAGUUACAACUCAAGAUGAGAUCUGGGUGAGGACACAGAGCCAGACCAUAUCAGGGUCCAUACUCGGGGUGGUGAGGGGCCCAUGCCACAUGCUGGGAGAUCUCAGCCCUGCCGGGCACAAGCUCAACUAACAGGGUCAUUGCCAAGUACUCACAGCCAUCCUCAGAGCCACAGGCUGCCCCUGGGCCCAAGGUCCCGCUGCCACACAGAGACUAUCCUUGACCUCACAGGUGCCCUCAUCUCU